AUUGAACGCUGGCGGCAGGCCUAACACAUGCAAGUCGAACGAGUGGCGGACGGGUGAGUAAGGUCUGGGAAUCUGCCAGAUGGAAGGGGAUAACUACUGGAAACGGUAGCUAAUAACGCAUAUCAUCGGAUGUGCCCAGGUGGGAUUAGCGAGUAGGUGGGGUAACGGCUAACUUAGGCGACGAUCCCUAGCUGGUGUGAGAGGAUGACCAGCCAGACUGGAACGGAGACACGGUCCAGACGCCUACGGGAGGCGGCAUAGGGGAAUAUGGCACGAUGGGCGGAAGCCUGAUGCAGCAAUGCCGCGUGUAUGAAGAAGCCCUUCGGGGUGUAAAGUACUUGCAGCGGGGAGGCGUUACUCGCAGAAGAAGCAACGGCUAACUCCGUGCCAGCAGCCGCGGUAAUUC
rnacentral:rRNA from 1 species